rnacentral:rRNA from 1 species
GCGACCCCAGGUCAGGCGGGACUCCCG